rnacentral:rRNA from 1 species
CCUACGGGAGGCAGCAGUGAGGAAUAUUGGUCAAUGGGCGCGAGCCUGAACCAGCCAAGUAGCGUGAAGGAUGACUGCCCUACGGGUUGUAAACUUCUUUUAUAAAGGAAUAAAGUGAGGCACGUGUGCCUUUUUGUAUGUACUUUAUGAAUAAGGAUCGGCUAACUCCGUGCCAGCAGCCGCGGUAAUACGGAGGAUGCGAGCGUUAUCCGGAUUUAUUGGGUUUAAAGGGUGCGUAGGCGGCCUUUUAAGUCAGCGGUGAAAGUCGGUGGCUCAACCAUCGAAUUGCCGUUGAAACUGGGUCGCUUGAGUAUGCUAGAGGCAGGCGGAAUGCGUGGUGUAGCGGUGAAAUGCUUAGAUAUCACGCAGAACCCCGAUUGCGAAGGCAGCCUACCAAGCCAUGACUGACGCUGAUGCACGAAAGCGUGGGGAUCAAACAGGAUUAGAUACCCCUGUAGUC